UACGAAGGGGGCUAGCGUUGCUCGGAAUUACUGGGCGUAAAGCGCACGUAGGCGGUCUUUUAAGUCGGGGGUGAAAUCCUGGAGCUCAACUCCAGAACUGCCUUCGAUACUGGAAGACUCGAGUCCGGGAGAGGUGAGUGGAACUGCGAGUGUAGAGGUGAAAUUCGUAGAUAUUCGCAAGAACACCAGUGGCGAAGGCGGCUCACUGGCCCGGUACUGACGCUGAGGUGCGAAAGCGUGGGGAG
rnacentral:rRNA from 1 species